GUGCCAGCCGCCGCGGUAAUACGUAGGUGGCAAGCGUUGUCCGGAUUUACUGGGCGUAAAGAGCGCGCAGGCGGUCUAGUAAGUCGAAUGUGAAAGCCCCCGGCUCAACUGGGGAGGGUCAUUCGAUACUGCUUGACUUGAAGGUAGGAGAGAGAAGCAGAAUUCCCGGUGUAGUGGUGAAAUGCGUAGAUAUCGGGAGGAAUACCAGUGGCGAAGGCGGCUUCUUGGCCUAUUCUUGACGCUGAGGCGCGAAAGCUGGGGGAGCAAACGGGAUUAGAAACCCCCGUAGUCC
rnacentral:rRNA from 1 species